UACGUAGGGGGCUAGCGUUGCUCGGAAUGACUGGGCGUAAAGGGCGCGUAGGCGGCGGACACAGUCAGAUGUGAAAUUCCCGGGCUCAACCUGGGGGCUGCAUUUGAUACGUGUUUGCUUGAGUGGGGAAGAGGGUCGUGGAAUUCCCAGUGUAGAGGUGAAAUUCGUAGAUAUUGGGAAGAACACCGGUGGCGAAGGCGGCGACCUGGUCCUUGACUGACGCUGAGGCGCGAAAGCGUGGGGAGCAAACAGG
rnacentral:rRNA from 1 species